AGCAGCCGCGGUAAUUCCAGCUCCAAUAGCGUAUAUUAAAGUUGCUGCAGUUAAAAAGCUCGUAGUUGAAUUUCGGGACCAUCAUGUCGGUCGUGCCUCGGUACGUACCGGUAUUGUUGGUUUCUCCCUUCUGACGAACCAUGAUGUCAUUUAUUUGGUGUUGUGGGAAAUCAGGACUGUUACUUUGAAAAAAUUAGAGUGUUUAAAGCAGGCUCACGCUUGAAUACAUUAGCAUGGAAUAAUGAAAUAGGACGUUUGAUUCUAUUUUGUUGGUUUCUAGGAUCGACGUAAUGAUUAAUAGGGAUAGUUGGGGGCAUUAGUAUUCAAUUGUCAGAGGUGAAAUUCUUGGAUUUAUUGAAGACUAACUACUGCGAAAGCAUUUGCCAAGGAUGUUUUCAUUAAUCAAGAACGAAAGUUAGGGGAUCGAAGACGAUCAGAUACCGUCGUAGUCUUAACCAUAAACUAUGCCGACUAGGGAUCGGAUGAUGUUAAUUUUUAAUGACUCAUUCGGCGCCUUAAC
rnacentral:rRNA from 1 species